AUAAGUUCAUUUAUAUUUGGGCGUAAAAAUAAUAAUGCCACUUUGAUUUCGUGAUCUAGAUUUAAAAGUCUGGAUCUUCUUUUUGUUUUUAUGUUGAUCAAAGCCGAAAAUCGAAUGUAAUGUCAAUUGAUAAAGAAAUGUAAAAGAAAUAAAUAAUUUUCACUGCCAGACAGUGGCGACGCACUUCAAGAAUCUUGCGGCUCACUAAAGUGUUACACAUCGUGUGGCACAGUGGUUGAGAAUCACUGCAGUAAGGCAAUGAAUGAAAAAGUGUAAAAUAUAUACUUCCUUAUUAGAUCCUCGAUAUCUUUGAAAUGAUUUAACGACUUGGUUUCUGUUGAUGAAAUAUUUCUAUUCUAAACCUUUUUAAUUCUGUACACGAUAAUUAAUCCGGGCAAAGCUAGUAAUUUUAUAAAUGCUACUGAUAAUUUCGUAUAACAGAGAUGAGGGAGUCGAGAGAUAAGCGAGAAAUCAGUUUAUCGAAGAGCCGAUGGAAACAGUGUUGGGAAAGUCGGAGCUGCUUAAUCGAUAGGCACCAGUUCCCUGCUUCGAAAAGUUGCCCGAACCGCGUUAUUCCACGAUCCGAGAGACGUCCCUCGAUGGAGGCACUAAUACCACCGAGGGGAACACGCCAGUAUCGAUAGAAGUUCGCGUCGUCCAAGAUUUUCCACCACGAUAAUCUCGACUGGGAACCAGGUAUACGAUUUCCACGGCCGAGCGAGUCGUUCGUGGAUAACUCCGCUGUAGCGUCGACCGGACGGAAAAUCUUUACGUGUUCUCGUCUCACCGAUAAAGGUUCGAAAUUCCCAGAGAUAGCGAAUAUUUUUACUGCGCUCCGGAUACCCCAUUAUCUCGUCGCCGGAUGACUUUUUGCUACAUCCUUCCGUACACUUCGACGAGAUAGCGUUUUAAAAUAAAAACCGCUACGCAGUGAGGAGUAGAGAGUAUUGGCGAGAAACCAGCGUGAUGAAAAAUGAAAGUCAUGAAAAGUGGUGUAAACCUUGGAGAUAAGCUGCACGACGUUAGUCGUGUGAGACGAAGUAACGAUAACGAAUCAGAUUUCCUAUAUCUGUAACGAGACCUUGCUAAUCACGAGAUUAAUUACCAUCGUGAAUUCGUUCAAAGAGAGCUGCUGCGAGAGAAAUAAGAUUCAUCACUGCUCAUUUGCAUUCAUCGUGAAUCACUAACAAGUAGACAGAGGAUUUUUAUGCAAAAAAGAAGAUUCAUGGUAGACAAUUAAGUUAUACAAUCGACAAUUUGGGAAUUACAUUAGAUAGUAUCUCAGAGAUAAUGGAUAGUAUCUCGGAGUUUCCUGGAAAACUAUUUUCGAGUAGCUCGAUUGGCAUUCCAUUCGCAUGGAACGAGCUGCUUGCGUCAGGUCGAGUUAAUCGAGCAAUUGUUACGCGACAGAAAUCCUGACGAAACGUUUUCGCCGUUCGAACUGGUAGCAUUGGAGUCAGAGACGCGGGCUAGACGUCGCGAAGUCAAAGCAGACAAUCGAACGGGCCGGGACGACGACAGUUUUAUCAGAACAGCCAGACCGUGCUCGGUUGGCACAGUUUUCAAAGCCUGACAGCCUCCAUUAGGAGAUGGCACCGGAAGAGGAAGAAUAAACGACGGUGAUGGUCGCGAAGCAGUUCUUUUGAAGUUAGCCUCUCUAUCUCCGAGUUUCCCACUGGAAAAACUCCGCGCGGAAACGAGCUCCAUUUUCCACGCGUCUUUUCCCAGAUAAACGGUUUUAGAUGGAACAAUUUAUAGCUGUGUCUUUUACGGGGCGAACAUUCUUAAUUCUAUGUACUGGAAAUCUC